ACCUGGUUAUAACCUGAGACAUCACCUGGUUAUAACCUGGUUAUAUCCUUAGACAUGACCUGGUUAUAACCUGGUUAUAACCUGGUUAUAUCCUGAGACAAUAC
rnacentral:miRNA from 1 species